CCGGAUGAGGAACUCGGAGGAGGAGCUGGGCCCGCGCGUCCAUGAUUCGAAGGCUCGUUUUCGCAGCUUUUCCACGUCUUUUUCCGGUCCCACUGCCCUCCAUGCUAACUCACUGGGCGUCUCUAGCCGUUAUACCAACAAUGACUGCGACCAGUGUUGGGAAAGCGCCCCCUGGGCCCCUCCCUGACGCCAGCCCAUCCUUGAGACUCCCUGCAAGGAGGCGGCCCGACCCAGUGGGUGCGUGUCGUGGGGUGAGGAGGAAUGGCCGACCUAAUGGUCCCGCUUCCGUGAAGCUAGAUCUGCAAGGCAUAGGCAAGCCUCUUAGAGAAUCAGAAAAGUGAUUUGGAAGGAACUUCAGCUGUUACUACUUUGUUUAAGCAAAUCAAAUGCUGUUCUUUAAUGUUACUGGACGUUUCAAAUUAAACACAAGAAAACCU
rnacentral:lncRNA from 1 species